rnacentral:misc_RNA from 1 species
GUUAGGGUGUCCUAUUUUCUUUAUGGUUUUAUGGGGGGACUAAAGGAUGAAAUUAGGCUGGUGGUUAAGAUUUUAAACCUGCUAGUUUGGUGGAGGCAUUAGAGAUAGCAACGUUGCAGGAACAAUUGUUGGACACCAAGAAAACCAAGACUUUUACUAGACCUUUUAGUUCUAAUUUCCCUAGAAGCACUGCCAAUUUUAAU